rnacentral:lncRNA from 1 species
UUAGGUACAAUUCCUGUUCUAUGACAUUCGGACACAAUAUGAAUCUUAUCUUGCAGUUCUAUUUGAAGAAGGUGAUUUAAAAGACGACAAUAUAAUAACUUUUGACACCUUAGAUGAAGCAAUAAACAUAAUGGGUUACAAUAUUGACGACGUGGCUAAAAUUACAAUUAAUGCGGAAAAACUCUUCGAAGGUCUUUUACCAGAUGACAUUAAAAUUGGACACCGUAAUUUUUUUAAAUAUCGUGGUUCUUUAACAAAUCCGCCCUGCUCAGAUGCAGAAUGGUUUGUUGUGGUUAAUUCUAAACACAAAGUGCCUACUAAAUUUUUGAAAACACUACGAAAGCUUCGCUCAAGUAUGGAUAGCUCAAAUAAUCAGAAUAGUUUAAUGUGUGAUAAUUUCAGACCGAUUCAGAAAAACAAGGAGAAGAUUUUUUCGUAACAAAACAAUAAGAAUCGAAUAUUAAAAAAAACGUUAUUUUUAUUUUAUCGAUUUUUUUUUACUGUAAGAGAUAUAACAUAUUAUACUAGGGGAGAACUUGCACCCUUGAUCCGUAGGCACCUUUGAUCCUAUAGCGUUAUCUCCAUACAUAACUUAUUAAAGAGGGGUGAUAACCAGCGUGUUAUAAAUAUUGUAUCUUCAAAGUUAAUUGUCUUUUGGUUAGA